rnacentral:lncRNA from 1 species
UGACAACCCUUCCCUUUAGCUUGAUGAAGGCUGUCCCUGGAGCUGUGGACUUCUGCACUGUUGCCUCUGCUGGUCAGCAGCAGUCACCUUUCCAAAGCUCAGCAUCUAUCUGCCGAGGAUCUGUGAACGGCUGCCGUGAGGUCUUUUACUGAACUCAGGUUCAACGGCUCACCUCUCCAAAGUCAACACUCAAGAGACAAGUGUUAGCAGAGCUGGUACCUUUCAUGCUGUCGAAGCUGCUGGCAGGAUUUGCCAAGGGUGGCUGGAAUCACAAGGGUCCAGGCUGCUGGAGAGCUCAAGAAGAUGGUGCUGCAGGGGAUCUGAUUUCCCAGCAGAAAGUGUGACUGAAGCCAGAGGUUAUAUCAGAGAUACUGUUCCAUUUAGCCUUGAAAACAUGAGUCACUACUGUUGCCUUUCACUGACUCAAA